rnacentral:rRNA from 1 species
CGCUGGGCGGCGCGCUUACACAUGCAAGUCGAACGAGAAAGUGGAGCAUCCAUGAGUACAGUGGCGUACGGGUGAGUAACACGUGGGUGAUCUACCUCUUAGUGAGGAAUAACCCUGGGAAACCGGGGCUAAUACCGCAUGAGCCUGAGAAGGGAAAGUCGCAAGACGCUGAGAGAGGAGCCCGCGGCCGAUUAGCUAGUUGGGGGGGUAAGAGCCUACCAAGGCAUAGAUCGGUAGCCGGCCUGAGAGGGCACACGGCACACUGGCACUGAAACACGGGCCAGACUCCUACGGGAGGCAGCAGUGGGGAAUUCUUGCACAAUGGGGGAAACCCUGAUGCAGCGACGCCGCGUGAGCGAUGAAGCCCCUCGGGGUGUAAAGCUCUUUCGGCAGGGAAGAUUAUUGACGGUACCUGCAGAAGCAGUGGGUAACUACGUGCCAACAGCCGCGGUAAAUACGUAGGCAGCGAGCGUUGUUCGGAGUUACUGGGCGUAAAGGGUGUGUAGGCGGUUCUUUAAGUUUGGUGUGAAAUUCUCCCGGCUUAACCGGGAGGGUGCGCCGAAUACUGAGGGACUAGAGUACGGG